rnacentral:rRNA from 1 species
GACGAACGCUGGCGGCGUGCUUAACACAUGCAAGUCGAGCGGUAAGGCCCUUUCGGGGGUACGACGAGCGGCGAACGGGUGAGUAACACGUGGGUGACCUGCCCUUAGCUCUGGGAUAAGCCUGGGAAACUGGGUCUAAUACCGGAUAUGACUCCAUGACGCAUGUUGUGGGGUGGAAAGCCUUGUGCGGCUAGGGAUGGGCCCGCGGCCUAUCAGCUUGUUGGUGGGGUGAUGGCCUACCAAGGCGACGACGGGUAGCCGGCCUGAGAGGGCGACCGGCCACACUGGGACUGAGUCACGGCCCAGACUCCUACGGGAGGCAGCAGUGGGGAAUCUUGCGCAAUGGGCGAAAGCCUGACGCAGCGACGCCGCGUGGGGA